UUAGAAAGUACUGAAAAGAACUGGAAAUCUGGAUUUACUUCAUUUACUAAAAGGGUAGAUAGGUAAUUUGGACUCCAGAUGGCCCCCACCCCCACCUGUCCAUAUCUCCCACCCGACCCUCCUCAUUUACCCCGUCAGUUAGGUUUCCGGCCGCUGCCGACGCGCUCUGGCUUUGUCAAUUCCCUUUGUCCGGCUUGAGCAGGUUUCGCCGCUGCCGCCGGCACCUCUGUAGCUGUGGGUGGUGCGGUGCAUGGCCAAGAAGCGGAUGAUGGCGAAGCAGAUCCAACAGAUACAGAAGCUCGACGACAUGCUCAUCCGCGACACCGUCAUGCAGCGUGCCGUCCACCCCGAGGCCGCCCUCGGCGCCGACCUCUAUCUCUCCUCCGCACCACCAUCACCGACGCCGUGCUCUCGAACGAUCUCCAGCAGGUGUAUGUGUCUUGUUUGGGGAUGAGAUGGGGAAAAAGGUCGGCAUGGCUGGGCUCAAGGACAAGACUAAGUAUGUAUGUACCUAGAUACGCAAGUGGAUGAAGCUACGUUUCACGCAUGCGUACGGUUCAUGGAAGACGAGUCCAUGGAACGGGAAGCAGGAUUCUUACUAUACAAACUAAAGGUCCGCAAAGCUUUAUGUGUGGUCCGUGUCUAUCUGGUUGAGACAGUUGAACUCGCAUCAAACUUGUAAUAUGUGCCGUCUCUGGUGAAAGCAAUCGUAUCAUUUUAAUCAUGAUCAGUAAACUAUCAGUUAAGUGCAUGUCUCAUUUCCGUUUGUGUAAUUUAGACCGUAAAAUAUACAGUUACCAACAAGAUCUUGUUUCAGGAUAAUUUACACACCUCUAGUGGUAGAAGAUGUCGAGGUUAUUGCUGCGCUGGACAUUGCAAAUGCCUCCAUGAUGCAAUAUCAGGGAUGGAUAAGGCUGCAGAACAAGGAAGUGCCGUCAGGCAGGUAGAGCUCUCGGAUUGUUUGAUGAUAUGGGGAGAAGCAAAGCUAAGCCUGACAGUGUUACCCUCAUCUGGGUGUUGACUGCAUAUUGCCAUGGUGACUUGGUUGAUGGAGCGCGAGAAGUCAAUUGCGAGUGCUAGCUAGGUAGCCUAGUAUGGUUUGUUCUUUUCAUUGUCUUAGCUUCGAUGGAUUGGAAUAAUUUUAACUAGUUAGCGAUGCAAGUUAAUCCAUCAACAACCAUUACUGACUUGCAAGUUUACCAUCGUAAGAUACAUGUAUGGAAAUAUUGAUGUAAAUCAGCGGAGCACUACAUGUUCAAGGACGUUGUGUUGUCUACCAAAAGUUAAAAAUUCAGACUUCCCUUGA